UACGGAAGGCAGCAGUGGGGAAUAUUGCACAAUGGGCGCAAGCCUGAUGCAGCCAUGCCGCGUGUAUGAAGAAGGCCUUCGGGUUGUAAAGUACUUUCAGUCGUGAGGAAGGUGUUAAGGUUAAUAACCUUAGCAAUUGACGUUAGCGACAGAAGAAGCACCGGCUAACUCCGUGCCAGCAGCCGCGGUAAUACGGAGGGUGCGAGCGUUAAUCGGAAUUACUGGGCGUAAAGGGCACGCAGGCGGUUAAUUAAGUUGGAUGUGAAAUCCCCGGGCUUAACCUGGGAAUGGCAUUCAAGACUGGUUAGCUAGAGUCUUGUAGAGGGGGUAGAAUUCCAUGUGUAGCGGUGAAAUGCGUAGAGAUGUGGAGGAAUACCGGUGGCGAAGGCGGCCCCUGGACAAAGACUGACGCUCAUGUGCGAAAGCGUGGGGAGCAAACAGGAUUAGAUA
rnacentral:rRNA from 1 species